GUAGCGGCGAGCGAAACGGGAAGAGCCCAAACCAACAAGCUUGCUUGUUGGGGUUGUAGGACACUCUAUACGGAGUUACAAAGGACGACAUUAGACGAAUCAUCUGGAAAGAUGAAUCAAAGAAGGUAAUAAUCCUGUAGUCGAAAAUGUUGUCUCUCUUGAGUGGAUCCUGAGUACGACGGAGCACGUGAAAUUCCGUCGGAAUCUGGGAGGACCAUCUCCUAAGGCUAAAUACUCUCUAGUGACCGAUAGUGAACCAGUACCGUGAGGGAAAGGUGAAAAGCACCCCGGAAGGGGAGUGAAAUAGAACCUGAAACCGUGUGCUUACAAGUAGUCAGAGCCCGUUAAUGGGUGAUGGCGUGCCUUUUGUAGAAUGAACCGGCGAGUUACGAUUUGAUGCAAGGUUAAGCAGUAAAUGUGGAGCCGUAGCGAAAGCGAGUCUGAAUAGGGCGUUUAGUAUUUGGUCGUAGACCCGAAACCAGGUGAUCUACCCUUGGUCAGGUUGAAGUUCAGGUAACACUGAAUGGAGGACCGAACCGACUUACGUUGAAAAGUGAGCGGAUGAACUGAGGGUAGCGGAGAAAUUCCAAUCGAACCUGGAGAUAGCUGGUUCUCUCCGAAAUAGCUUUAGGGCUAGCCUCAAGUGAUGAUUAUUGGAGGUAGAGCACUGUUUGGACGAGGGGCCCCUCUCGGGUUACCGAAUUCAGACAAACUCCGAAUGCCAAUUAAUUUAACUUGGGAGUCAGAACAUGGGUGAUAAGGUCCGUGUUCGAAAGGGAAACAGCCCAGACCACCAGCUAAGGUCCCAAAAUAUAUGUUAAGUGGAAAAGGAUGUGGCGUUGCCCAGACAACUAGGAUGUUGGCUUAGAAGCAGCCAUCAUUUAAAGAGUGCGUAAUAGCUCACUAGUCGAGUGACACUGCGCCGAAAAUGUACCGGGGCUAAACAUAUUACCGAAGCUGUGGAUUGUCCUUUGGACAAUGGUAGGAGAGCGUUCUAAGGGCGUUGAAGCAUGAUCGUAAGGACAUGUGGAGCGCUUAGAAGUGAGAAUGCCGGUGUGAGUAGCGAAAGACGGGUGAGAAUCCCGUCCACCGAUUGACUAAGGUUUCCAGAGGAAGGCUCGUCCGCUCUGGGUUAGUCGGGUCCUAAGCUGAGGCCGACAGGCGUAGGCGAUGGAUAACAGGUUGAUAUUCCUGUACCACCUAU
rnacentral:rRNA from 1 species